rnacentral:rRNA from 1 species
GUCCACGCCCUAAACGAUGAUGACUAGUUGUUGGAGGAGUUAAAUCCUUUAGUAACGCAGCUAACGCGAGAAGUCAUCCGCCUGGGGAGUACGGUCGCAAAGAUUAAAACUCAAAGGAAUUGACGGGGGCCCGCACAAGCGGUGGAUGAUGUGGUUUAAUUCGACGCAACGCGAAAAACCUUACCUAACCCUUGACAUGUACGGAACCUCAUAGAGAUGUGAGGGUGCCCGAAAGAGAGCCGUAACACAGGUGCUGCAUGGCUGUCGU